AACGAACGCUGGCGGCAGGCCUAACACAUGCAAGUCGAGCGCCCUUUCGGGGGAGCGGCGGACGGGUGAGUAACGCGUGGGAAUAUGCCCUUCUCUACGGAAUAGCCUCGGGAAACUGAGAGUAAUACCGUAUACGCCCUGUGGGGGAAAGAUUUAUCGGGGAAGGAUUAGCCCGCGUUGGAUUAGGUAGUUGGUGGGGUAAUGGCCUACCAAGCCGACGAUCCAUAGCUGGUUUGAGAGGAUGAUCAGCCACACUGGGACUGAGACACGGCCCAGACUCCUACGGGAGGCAGCAGUGGGGAAUCUUAGACAAUGGGGGCAACCCUGAUCUAGCCAUGCCGCGUGAGUGAUGAAGGCCUUAGGGUUGUAAAGCUCUUUCAGCUGGGAAGAUGAUGACGGUACCAGCAGAAGAAGCCCCGGCUAACUCCGUG
rnacentral:rRNA from 1 species